GAUGAAGAACGUAGCGAAAUGCGAUAAGUAAUGUGAAUUGCAGAAUUCAGUGAAUCAUCGAAUCUUUGAACGCACAUUGCGCCCGCCAGCAUUCUGGCGGGCAUGCCUGUUCGAGCGUCAUUUCAACCCUCGAGCCCCCCCGGGGGCCUCGGUGUUGGGGGACGGCACACCAGCCGCCCCCGAAAUGCAGUGGCGACCCCGCCGCAGCCUCCCCUGCGUAGUAGCACACACCUCGCACCGGAGCGCGGAGGCGGUAACGCCGUAAAACGCCCAACUUUCUUAGAGUUGACCUCGGAUCAGGUAGGAAUACCAGCUGAACUUAAGCAUAUCAAUAAGCGGAGGA
rnacentral:misc_RNA from 1 species